CAGCGGAGGAGGAAGUGGUGUGCAGCGGCCUGGGUCUGAGCGAGGGCGGUUCUCAGGGACCUGGUCUCAGUGCCCGGGCUCCAGGAGCGUGCCCGUACUAUCAUCUGGUGGCAUUAUUCCAUGUUUAUAUUCCAUGGAGAUCUAGAUCUUGAUUUGGAAGUUUAUGACAAAAUGAUCAGCAUGUGACUUGACAUCAAUAUUACCAGUGAAGGAUUAUAUUUUGAGGCCUAUGAAUAUUGCUACAUAUAAAUCUACUCCAUUGCUGCUCAUGGCCUGUUACAGUGUGCCUAGAACACAAUUUACUUAUAUUCUCUGCCAUGGAAGGACUUCCACAUUGUUUCAGCACAAGCAAGGCUCUGUGAACAACCUAGACAUGCCCCCUGUUAGAAAAUGCCAAAGGACAUUUAUUUAGGAUCCAGACUAACAGAAUUGCUUGGCUAUAGAGCAUAUGUAUGCAACUCCAAUACCGUAAACAGUCUAAUUUCAGAAGUCCUCUCAGAUUACCACCAGAAGGAUUCACCAGUUCAC